CCUGGCUCAGAACGAACGCUGGCGGCGUGGAUUAGGCAUGCAAGUCGAACGAGGGUUNUCCGGGAACAAUGCUUCGGCCAAGGACCUGGAAAACCUAGUGGCGGAAGGGUGAGUAAUGCAUGGGCAAUCUACCCUCAAGUUGGGAAUACCUCCGCGAAAGGGGAGUUAAUACCGAAUAUGAUCUCCCGGCGCAUGCCGGGGUGUUCAAAGGCGGGGACCUUCGGGCCUGCCGCUUGGGGAUGAGCCCGUGUCCUAUCAGCUUGUUGGUGAGGUAAUGGCUCACCAAGGCUUACGGGUAGCUGGUCUGAGAGGAUGGUCAGCCACACUGGGACUGAGACACUGCCCAGACUCCUACGGGAGGCUGCAGUCGAGAAUCAUUGUCAAUGCGCGAAAGCGUGAACAUGCGACGCCGCGUGGAGGAUGAAGGCCUUCGGGUUGUAAACUCCUGUAGUCAGGGAGCAAUCGUCGGUGGGUGAAUACCCCAUCGGCCUGAUCGUACCUGAACAGUAAGCCACGGCUAACUCUGUGCCAGCAGCCGCGGUAAUACAGAGGUGGCAAGCGUUGUUCGGAUUUACUGGGCGUAAAGGGUGCGUAGGCGGUUGCGUGUGUCGGAUGUGAAAUCUCACUGUUCAUCGGUGAAACUGCAUUCGAAACUACGUAACUCGAGUACUGGAGAGGAGAGCGGAAUUCUUGGUGUAGCGGUGAAAUGCGUUGAGAUCAAGAAGAACGCCGGUGGCGAAGGCGGCUCUCUGGACAGAAACUGACGCUGAGGCACGAAAGCUAGGAGAGCAAACAGGAUUAGAUACCCUGGUAGUCCUAGCCGUAAACGUUGUGCACUUGGUGUGGGAGGAGUUUACCCCUUCCGUGCCGUAGCUAACGUGUUGAGUGCACCGCCUGGGGAGUACGGCCGCAAGGCUAAAACUCAAAGAAAUUGACGGGGGCCCGCACAAGCGGUGGAGCAUGUGGCUUAAUUCGAUGCAACGCGAAGAACCUUACCUGGGCUUGACAUGGCGAGACUUCGGUCUAAACCGGUGAAAGUCGGUUGAACGCACACAGGUGCUGCAUGGCUGUCGUCAGCUCGUGCCGUGAGGUGUUGGGUUAAGUCCCGCAACGAGCGCAACCCUUGUGGGUAGUUGCCACCCCCGUUCUGCGGGGAGCACUCUACUCAGACUGCCCGUGACAAGCGGGAGGAAGGUGGGGAUGACGUCAAGUCCGUAUGGCCCUUAUGCCCAGGGCUGCACACGUGCUACAAUGGUCGGUACAGAAAGAUGCAAGACCGCGAGGUGGAGCAAAUCUCCAAAACCGGCCCCAGUUCGGAUUGCAGUCUGCAACUCGACUGCAUGAAGCCGGAAUCGCUAGUAACGGCGUAUCAGCUACGACGCCGUGAAUACGUUCCCGGGCAUUGUACACACCGCCCGUCACAUCAUGAAAGCCGAUUGGACCCGAAGUCGUCGAUUCAACCCGCAAGGGAGAUAGGCGCCGAAGGUGUGGUUGGUGAUUGGGAUGAAGU
rnacentral:rRNA from 1 species